UCAUUGAGAGGGAGACAGCAGGGAGAGCUCCACCACCUAUCGCCCACAUCAAACAACACAGCAGCAAGAAUGACUGUGGGAGCAACUGGCUGAAGGCAGUCAAAGAGGAGCCUACCAUUGACUACUUUGAUGUCCAGGAUUGAUCUUGGCCAUGAACAUGAAAGCUGUAAAUCCAGUGCAUCAACAUCAAAUAAAACUAGAGAAUGUUU